CCCCAGGCUAGUGUCCUCGCCACAGGCGCCGCUUUUUGUUGUCUGGGGUUGGGAGGCCGCCACCACAUUUGGGGGCGAAGCGGGGGGGCUGCGGCUAUCCUGAGCGCCGGUCAGCGCCUUCCGGCUCCCUGUGGUGCCAGGUCAUUGAGUUUUGACCAUUUGGGACUCCUGAACCUACGGACUGUGACCUCAGAGCAGCACACACACUUGCCCCAUGCACAGUGGGUGCACAUUCCCUCCACAUUCUCUUGACCGGGCAGCAGACUUGGUUAUUUCACGGCUGUUGAUAAGGACCCUAAGGAGAACCCAUAGUCUCUGUGCCGCUUCUCCGAGUCUCAUUCCUUUGAGACUCCUUUACGUGCCUCCAGGAUCCCCCUGCUUAAGACACUUGUCCAGAAAUCCAGCUUGGCUCAAAUCAAGAAGGCGCCAUUUACUCAUUGAGCACUUGUGGCUGAAAAGUCAGCUGCCCUUCUGAGUCAGAAGAUAACCUCGUCAUGCUUCUUCCAACAGCAAACUUUGCUGUGCUUCCCCAGCUGUGAGCAUGAUUCAUCAGGUGGCACCACCGCUGCAUGGCUGAGAGUCAGUCUAUUGUUCCACGCGGCCCAGUACAGGACUGGGGUCAGGCCCCAGAGAGCUGGCCGGCAGGGAUGGCUGAGAAGUCUCUCAGGAGCACAGAUUGCUGUUUACUCCUGGAUGAAGUGUUUUCAAGGCAGGUCAUCAAGAAGGGGCUUGUGGGCUCCAUGAAGGCCUUGCAGAAGCAGUACGUGUCCUGGGACAUGGUGGUGACGAGUAAGGAUGCCGACGCCAACACCGUGUACAGUGCCGUGGAGGCCAUGUUCAUCCAUGGUCUGCACACCAAGCACAUCCUCACCGAGGAGGGAGACAAAAGGAAGAAGCGUGCCCAAUGGAAGCCCUUGCCGCAGCCUGCCUUCUGGCCCCUCCUGAAAGCCGUCACCCAGAACUUCCAAGGGUGUUGUCAGAAUUCAUCAAGGCCCAGAUGGACUCUGUGCCAACCUGCCAACUAAACCAGGAAGCAGCAAGCCCUGUGCCGCCCGGCCUGCACUCAAGCACACGCCCGCACUCCACCACAUUAGUUCAGCCCUGCCUGCCCCGGCCUUCUCCUGCGCUCCUCCAGAUGGUGGCUCCCCAGACUUGCCACCACCGGGAACUGCCCCUGUUGUCUCUGCAGGGAGCACUCCAUGCCAGUAGCCUUCAAGUCUGGUGGGUGAACUGACCAGCACAGCCCGCCAGGGAGCCACCAGCCAGAGCUCCGGGAGGGUGGAGCCGGACUGAGAAUCGUGGUUCCCUCACCUGCAGCCCAAAAGGCUGGACCAGUAGGCAUUCCCACGAGGAGUGAAAGGGAGUCCCUUUUUCCCCACAUCCAUGCCAACAGCGCUUGCUUUUGUUUUUUUGGAUGUUUUUCGGUCUCUGUGGUGUGAGAUGAUAUAUCAUAGCUGUUUUGAUCUGCAUCUCCCUGAUGAUUAGUGAUGAAGAGCAUUUUUUCAUGUCUCUUUUGGCCAUUCAGAUUUCUUCUUUGAGGAAGAAGAAAAAGAAUUUCUUCCUCUGUUCAUUUUAUUGCCACAUUUUCUGAUGUGGUUGGAUGUUUUUUUCUUGUGGAGUUCAACCAGUGCCUUGUAUAUCCUUGAUAUGAACCCCUUCUAGAGGGGCAUUGGAUGAAUAACCUUU